CAAAAAGAAUUCGCUUACCGUCACCGUUAUUUCACCAUCAAUUUGUUUCCGGGUAACGUUUGGCAAAACAGCCGUUUCAUUUUUCUUGGGAAUCAGUGGAAUUAAAGCUCCAAUUCCUUCUUAUGAACAGACGCUCCCCCAUCCAGGUUUUGCUGCUCGAUGUCUUCGAAACUAUUUAGCACAAAUGACAAAAGAUGGACAUAUUAUUGCCUUUCGCCUAUUCCUUUGGAUUUUACAGGGGCGUUAUGGCCGGUGAUAUUAGCAUGGACCUUUGAUUUUGUAGGAUGCACAUUCAGUUUGUAUUAAGGAUGCACAUACAUAGGCUGCUAUGUACUGAUGUAUUGCUAUAGUGAGCUGCAUUGAUUUUAUCAAAGGUCAGGAUAGUGAUUUGAUCGCUGGCCUCCUCAAAUUUGUACAGCAUUGCGUGCUGUUCAUUGCAAAUCUAGACGUUGACAGUCUAUAUUUCAAAACUGAGGCCUACACAGAAUUCUAUAUGUAUCUAUGAGAUCGAGUAUGCCCUUCUUCUUAGUUGGAAAAGCCUCGAGUACAAGUUGAUUAUUAAUUCUCAACAAUCUUUAUGUUCCCACUUGCUGGGGGUACUUAGAGAGAACGAGAGAGAUUGGAACGGAAUUGAAUCGAACUGAAAAUAGAAUCAUCGGAAUUUGGAUGGAAAUUAGAAAUAUCUGCCGCAGCAGCCAAUCCCCAUUAAUACAUAGCUGAAUAACACAUUAGGUUUCAUUACAGAUUAAAUACCACAAUCAUUGGCCGACAAACCCUAAUGAUAGCGUAUUACCACUAGACACGUGUA